rnacentral:rRNA from 1 species
GAGAUUACCCGCCAAAUUUAAGCAUAUCAAUAAGCGGAGGA